rnacentral:rRNA from 1 species
UACGUAGGGUGCGAGCGUUGUCCGGAAUUAUUGGGCGUAAAGGGCGCGUAGGCGGCUUUGCGUGUCUUUCGUGAAAUCCCUCGGCUCAACUGAGGACGUGCGGAAGAAACUGCAGGGCUGGAGUCCGGAAGAGGAGAGUGGAAUUCCUGGUGUAGCGGUGAAAUGCGCAGAUAUCAGGAAGAACACCCGUAGCUAAGGCGGCUCUCUAGUACGGUACUGACGCUGAGACGCGAAAAGCGUGGGGAGCGAAACAGG